rnacentral:rRNA from 1 species
CAAAUACGACUCUCGGCAACGGAUAUCUCGGCUCUCGCAUCGAUGAAGAACGUAGCGAAAUGCGAUACUUGGUGUGAAUUGCAGAAUCCCGUGAACCAUCGAGUCUUUGAACGCAAGUUGCGCCCGAAGCCGUCAGGCCGAGGGCACGUCUGCCUGGGCGUCACGC